GGGAAGAAUCCUCUAAAAUGAGGGAAGAAUCCCCUAAAAUGGGAAGAAGCGUCUAUAAAGGGAAGGAACCUGGAACGGGGAAAGAAUUCUCUAAAAUAGGGAGAAAACCUCUAAAAUGGGAAGAAUCCUGUAAAAUGGGGAAGAAACCUCUAAAACAGGGGAAGAAACAUCUAAAAUAGGGAAGAAAUGUUCAAAAUGGGAAGAAACUUCUACAAUGGGAAGGAUCCUCUAAAAUGGGGAGAAAACCUCUAAAACAGGAAGAAUCCUGUAAAAUGGGGCAAGGAUCCUCCAAAAUUGGGGAAAAAAUCCUCUGAAGUGGGGCAAGAAUCCUCUAAAAUGGGAGGGAAACCUGUGAAACAGAUGAUGAAUUCUCUAAAAUGGGGGGAAAGCCUCUAAAAUGGAAAGAAAUGUGUAAAACAGAGGAAGAAUUGUCUAAAAUGGGGAAAACAUCUAAAAUGGGGGAAGAAUCCUCUAAAACGGGAAGAAACAUCUAAAAUGGGGAAGAAAUCUCUAAAAUGGGGAGAGUCCUCUAAAAUGAGGAGAAAACCUCUAAAAUGGGAGUAGAAUCCUCUGAAAUGGGGAGAAAAACCUUUAAAACAGGAAGAAUCCUCUGAAAUGGGAAGAAAUCUCCAAAAUGGUAAAGAAGCCUCUAAAAUGGGGGAAGAAACCUCUAAAACAGGAGAAGAAUCCUCUAAAACAGGGGAAGAAACAUCUAAAAUGGGGUAGAAAACUCCAAAAUGGGAAGAAUCUUCUAUACUGGGAAGAAUCCUCUAAAAUAGGGAGAAAACCUCUAAAAUGGGAAAAAACCUCUAAAACAGAGGAAGAAUCCUCUAAAAUGGGGGAAGAAUCCUCUAAAAUGGGCCAAAGCCAUGUGAAAUGUGGGAAGCAAGUCACCUGGUGGCAGAGGCUGGGAAGUGUGGCCACUCUGUGCUCUGGCAGUCAGGAUUUCUCGACAAGGAAUGCUCACAGGGGGAACUGCUCUGGCACUGUAGGAUCAUGGUCAGGAUUGUUGGGAUCACCUCGUGGAAGUGUUUGUGCCUGAGGAUCAGCAGGCAGGAGGAAAUGUCUGGUUUUGGUGUGGUUUUAUGGAGUUGGUGGCAGUGGGGGUUGCCCUUCUGACCCUCCCACACGCAGUUGGUCCCACACUUGUCCGGUGGUGGCACUUUGGGCCUGUCUGUGGUGGUCUUGGUUUCACUGCCAGUCAACAGCAGCUGCUCAAAAUAGUCCUCAAGUUCCAAAUCUCCAGGUGUCAGGCUCCAGAGAGCAGAUUCCCUGGGCUUGCAGUGCAGUCUGUCCCUGCCCUGGGCAGCACAGGAGGGCUGGGAAUGCCCUGGCACUGCCAGGGCUGCCAGGAACAGGCUCAGCAGAUGCUCCAUCUGUGUCCCAACCUCUGGGAUGAGAACUCAGGGAACGCUCAGGGUGCCCCACACAGAGGCCGUAGGAGAGGAGGGUUCCAUGGCUGUGUCUGUUCUUCCUGAAGCAGGUGUUUAACUGUCUCUAGAGCAACUCCAGAAUAAACUGUACCACCACAGGGCUGGGGGCUGUGGUUCCUGACGAUAUCUGGGGCAUCCUGCUGUCAAACAACUCGUGCUUGCCAAGGGCCACCAGCCUGUCCGGCCCCGGGGUUGGCUCCGUGCUUUCCGUGUAGGUCUGUGCUGUUGUUGUGUCCACUGAUCCCAAAGCUACAAACGUGGUUGAAAACACUCUUUGCUGCUUAUAAAGAUUACAAUAUACCUGAGA